rnacentral:rRNA from 1 species
UAGUUUUUUUUUUCUUAUUGUUUGGUAUUGCAUACCAUUUUUGGAUGUUAACAUUUUUAUGUGUAAUAGAAAGGUGAGGUAGAGGUUUCCUUGUUUUUGUUGUUACAUAAUAAAAGUUAGGUUGCCUGGUGUUGAAAUGUCGUCUUAUCUUUUAUCUGUGUAAUAGGUAUUUAUUAGAAAAUUAUAAUUCUGUGUGUGGUUUUAGGAAUGUGAGAUUUUGUAGUGUUCUUUUAUCUGUGUUUUAUAACGCUUUCUUUUUGUAUCGUGUUUUUGUUUUUUUAUUAUUAAUUUAUUAAUAAUUUAAUAAUUUAGAAUUUAGUAGUUUUUAAAACUUUGUUUUUUGUUUUAAUUUUUUUUUGUGAACUUGAGUUUUGAUCAAAUGUUUUUUAAAGACUUAGGUUUCUUUUUGUAACUGGCCUCUGCUCUAUGUUUUGAUAAAUGGCAGUCUUAGCGUGAGGACAUUAAGGUAGCAAAAUAAUUUGUGCUUUUAAUGGGUUCUAGUAUGAAUGGGGUUAUUGGUUGAUUGUCUUCUUAUGUUUUUAUGAACUAGGUCUUUGUUUAAGAAAUAAUAUUUGAGGUUAUACAAAGAUAAGUCUUCGGAAGUUUUUUUCUUAAUUUUUUUUUAAUUAUUUUGAGAUGUUUCUUAGGGUAAGAGUUUUGGUAAUUGUUUUUUCUAUUUAUAAGAUAUAAAACUACUUCGGAGUUAACAGAAAUUCAUGUUUUUACCAGUUCUUAUGGUAAUGAUAAGUUUUACAUCGAUGUUGUAUUUUAGUUGUCCAGGAUAGGAGAUGGUUUGGGGUUUUAGACUGUUCUUCUUUUAGUAAACUGAACGUGAUAUUAGUUUAAUUCAUCGUGAGAUAGAAUUGUUUAUCUUGAUAAUCUUUUGUUUUUGGUGGUGGAUAGUACGAAAGGAAAUUUGUUAAGGUUUUUAACCUUGUUAGAGGGUAGCCUCUG